rnacentral:rRNA from 1 species
CACGUAGGGUGCGAGCGUUGUCCGGAAUUAUUGGGCGUAAAGAGCUCGUAGGCGGUGUGUCGCGUCGGCCGUGAAAACCUGCAGCUUAACUGUGGCUUGCGGUCGAUACGGGCAUCACUGGAGUUCGGCAGGGGAGACUGGAAUUCCUGGUGUAGCGGUGAAAUGCGCAGAUAUCAGGAGGAACACCGGUGGCGAAGGCGGGUCUCUGGGCCGAUACUGACGC